rnacentral:misc_RNA from 1 species
GAUGAAGAACGCAGUGAAAUGCGAUAAGUAAUGUGAAUUGCAGAAUUCAGUGAAUCAUCGAAUCUUUGAACGCAUCUUGCGCUCCUUGGUAUUCUGAGGAGCAUGCCUGUUUGAGUGUCAUUAAAGUUCUCAACCACAUUACUACAUAUGUGGCUUGGAUGUGGGGGUUUGCAGGCUUUCUCUGAGGGUCUGCUCCUCUGAAAUGCAUUAGUGGUAUUCCUGAGCUUUACUACAGAUGUGAUAAUUUAUCUACAUCCCAAAAGUAUGCUUCAGCAACACCGCUCCUAACAAGCGAAAGCACAUUUUGAUGAAUUUGACCUCAAAUCAGGUAGGACUACCCGCUGAACUUAAGCAUAUCAAUAAGCGGAGGA